rnacentral:rRNA from 1 species
GAUGAACGCUGGCGGCGUGCCUAAUACAUGCAAGUCGAGCGAACGGACGAGAAGCUUGCUUCUCUGAUGUUAGCGGCGGACGGGUGAGUAACACGUGGAUAACCUACCUAUAAGACUGGGAUAACUUCGGGAAACCGGAGCUAAUACCGCAUGAUAUUUUGAACCGCAUGGUUCAAAAGUGAAAGACGGUCUUGCUGUCACUUAUAGAUGGAUCCGCGCUGCAUUAUCUAGUUGGUAAGGUAACGGCUUACCAAGGCAACGAUGCAUAGCCGACCUGAGAGGGUGAUCGGCCACACUGGAACUGAGACACGGUCCAGACUCCUACGGGAGGCAGCAGUAGGGAAUCUUCCGCAAUGGGCGAAAGCCUGACGGAGCAACGCCGCGUGAGUGAUGAAGGUCUUCGGAUCGUAACACUCUGUUAUUAGGGAAGAACAUAUGUGUAAGUAACUGUGCACAUCUUGACGGUACCUAAUCAGAAAGCCACGGCUAACUACGUG